GGAAAUCGCAAGAGAGAGGGAAAAAAUUUCAGUUGAUGCAAAAUGGCAGAAGAAGGCACCAAAGCGGAUGCGCAGCUUUUUCAACUCCUUUCCAAUCUCCUCCAGCAAGUGGAGGCACUAACCAAUCAAGAAGAAGUUGAAUUGCGAUCCAAAAUUGAAGCACUGGGAUUAGAGGUUACCAAAGUUCCUUCAAAGUCGACAAAGAAUCUUGAUGAGCUGGAAAUCGCAAGAGAGUUGGAUAAAUUAUCAGCAAAAUUGGAUGAUGUAGAUGAAAUGAUUUCCUCAGCCAUGAAUGCAGAUCCACAGGUACAGUCACUCUUGAGUGGCACUGCUGAUGUAUGGAUGCCAGUUAUUACAGCUACUGCUGAAGAGAGACGUAAUUUUACAGCAGCACUUGGAGAUGAUGCUACUGAAGAAAAGGGGAAAACUUCAAUUUAAUUGCCGCUUGUCUGCUCUCACAGAAAAUAAUCUUUCUUAUAACCUAAUGUGUUUGCCAUAUCUUCCUAAACAUUGAGAUCAUUAUUUUUUUUCUCAAUAUUUUUCAUAUAUUCCAUUUUUCUUGUCCUUCAC
rnacentral:misc_RNA from 1 species